GUUUCAACUAUUAAAUAUUCAAUAAUCACUUAUGGUCUAAUCGAUUAUAAAAGUAAAAUAUGGCAAUAGUGGUGUAAAAGAUAGAUACAAAUUUUUGUGGUAUUUUCAUAUCUUAUGAGGUUUCAACUUCGAUAAUAUGUGUGUUCAAUGUAUUACUAGUAUAAAUAAAAUAAAAAUGAUAUUCAUUCAAAUUAGAAAAUAAAAAAGUUUUUGUACUAGACCAUUGGUUCUCAACCUCUCUCAUUUUUUUUCUGUGCCCAUUUUCGUGGCACAAAAAUUAUGUGGCCUAUUAACUUUUCCAUCCGAGGAAAAACUACAAGAAAUUGAAAAAUUCUUUCCGCAAAAAAGGACACUUUCACUUUAUUACGGUAAUUAGAAUGCCACCCUGUAGCAAAAGACAGCAUCGUCAUUCAUUGUUACUACCAUCAAUUAUUUAAAUAUAUCAAUAAAUGUAGCAGUUUUAUUAGGUUUGUG